rnacentral:misc_RNA from 1 species
GAUGAAGAACGUAGCGAAAUGCGAUAAGUAAUGUGAAUUGCAGAAUUCAGUGAAUCAUCGAAUCUUUGAACGCACAUUGCGCCCGCCAGCAUUCUGGCGGGCAUGCCUGUUCGAGCGUCAUUUCAACCCUCGAGCCCCCCCGGGCCUGGCGUUGGGGAUCGGCGGAGCCCCCCGUGGGCACACGCCGUCCCCCAAAUGCAGUGGCGGUCCCGCCGCAGCUUCCAUCGCGUAGUAGCUAACACCUCGCGACUGGAGAGCGGCGCGGCCACGCCGUAAAACACCCAACUUCUGAAUGUUGACCUCGGAUCAGGUAGGAAUACCCGCUGAACUUAAGCAUAUCAAUAAGCGGAGGA